AUUGAACGCUGGCGGCAGGCCUAACACAUGCAAGUCGAGCGGAUGAAGGGAGCUUGCUCCUGGAUUCAGCGGCGGACGGGUGAGUAAUGCCUAGGAAUCUGCCUGGUAGUGGGGGAUAACGUCCGGAAACGGGCGCUAAUACCGCAUACGUCCUGAGGGAGAAAGUGGGGGAUCUUCGGACCUCACGCUAUCAGAUGAGCCUAGGUCGGAUUAGCUAGUUGGUGGGGUAAAGGCCUACCAAGGCGACGAUCCGUAACUGGUCUGAGAGGAUGAUCAGUCACACUGGAGCUUGAACACGGUCCAGAGUACUACGGGAGGCAGCAGUGGGGAAUAUUGGACAGUGGGCGAAAGCCUGAUCCAGCCAUGCCGCGUGUGUGAAGAAGGUCUUCGGAUUGUAAAGCACGUUAAGUUGGGAGGAAGGGCAGUAAGUUAAUACCUUGCUGUUUUGACGUUACCAACAGAAUAAGCACCGGCUAACUUCGUG
rnacentral:rRNA from 1 species